AUGAACACGGUUCGGCCCUUCCUCCCGAGGCCAAGAGAUCCAGUCUCACGCAGCAGGACAGGGCGGCGCUGCUCCCCGGAGGCCGCCGAGCGCAGACCCCGCGUCGCGUCCCCGGGGGAAAGGGGCACUCGGACCCCCGAGAUGCAGAGACUGAGGCCACACAUGUCCUUCAUGCUCAGGAGUGGCAGCCCUGGAGCGUCGCUUGUCCUUGUCCAGGUAGUCGCUAGGAGUCCUGGAAGGCCAUGUGAAGACCAACGGGAUGCGAUAUCUUAUCCAGGGUCUCCAGGGCCCCUGGUCCUCCUGCCUGCAUGGGCACUAAGGAAACUAACCUUGCUGACAGCCAAAGCAGGUAGUAGCUCAGGCCAAGUGUCGGAACACCCAAUGUCUACACUGGUCGCAGCGCCCUGCAGACUGGCUGCCACUAGAUCUAACACAGAAGAGCAAGGGACAAACAAGGUCUGAGACAGCUGGACAUUUUCAGGGACCCUAGGGCGCAUUGGUGGUACCAGCCAUGAGAGAGGGACAUCCAG
rnacentral:lncRNA from 1 species